UACGUAGGGGGCUAGCGUUGUCCGGAAUCAUUGGGCGUAAAGAGCGUGUAGGCGGCCCGGUAAGUCCGCUGUGAAAGUCGGGGGCUCAACCCUCGGAUGCCGGUGGAUGCUGUCGGGCUUGAGUACGGAAGAGGCGAGUGGAAUUCCUGGUGUAGCGGUGAAAUGCGCAGAUAUCAGGAGGAACACCAAUUGCGAAGGCAGCUCGCUGGGACGUUACUGACGCUGAGACGCGAAAGCGUGGGGAGCAAACAGG
rnacentral:rRNA from 1 species